GGUGUCAAUCAAGGCCCUGUGCCAGGCCCGGGAGGCGGAGCUCUGGAGGCCACGCCCACCCAGAGCUGCCGACCAGCCCGGGGAACCCCAGGAGGCUCCGGAUUGGCUGGAACAGGCUGAGGCCGUGCUGAUUGGCCACAGCCCGGAGGCCGUGCUGUGGGCAUUGGAGACCUUGGCCAAUCAGAGCACGAG